CAUGUCCGUGUCAUCCUCCAGGCAGGUUGCCAUGGAUAUCACCGCCAAGUGUUGCCAUAAGGAGAUGGAAAGCUAUGGGCAGUGUGUGGCCUCCCACCCAUCAACAUGGCAACAGCACUGUCAAGACCUGAAGAUGAAGCCCUGUGAUCCAGAAGAUCCAGACAGACUGUUCAAAAGAGUUCACAGAGUUUGAACACUGCUUACGAGAGAACCAGAACUCACCUACCUCCUGUUCAGUACACGUAGCGCACUUCCUCGGCUGUGCAGAGACAGUGGACCUUGCCUGACAGUGAACCCGGUUCCUCGGCCCUCUUAGGACCCAGCAGUGACCAUCAUCCAUCCCUCUCAGAUAUCUCCUUCCUGCAACACUGACACCGGACUGCUCUAUCUAUCAUGGAUAAAUCAAUGCCCAUGUCAUUUUGAUAACUUCCUGACUUGGUACAUGGAUAUAGUGGACACUUGUCCAUGGCUACUUUAGGAUUUGUCAAAAGAACUCAAAAUCCUAGACAUUUACAAUUUCUGGGACUGAUUUCUGCCCGAGACUGUGAAGAAUCAAGACGGGUUAUUUAUUGAAGUUCUUUCAUAACUCAUCGAUGCUACAGCUCUCUGAAAUACAAUGGGAAUCAGAGGAGUCGUUUUCCCUGUAUGUGAAAAGAAUCACUCAGUGCGACUGACUAUGCAGCAGGUUUUAGUGUGUAAUACAUAUUUACAACACUGUGGUAACCUCAGGUAGCAGCAUAAAUGGUUUUCUUUGCCUCUCAAAUGUAUAUUGACAAUGAAUGUGUAAAACGGUGUUAGCUUUGUAACCUCACUCCGCAACAUAUCUGUGUACAACUGCGUGAUAUAUAAGUAUCCCUUGUUUGCGGUGUGGUUGUCUCUUGUAGAUGUUAUUUUGGGUAAAUUUUAUCAUGAAACUCCUAUAUUUCAGUCCUAUUACUCAUCCAGUUUGGAUACAUGCUGUCUGGUGUUAUGGUGCUACACAAGGGUGCCCCCCGCUCCCUCCCACUCUCCUUUUCUUCAGGUUGGAGUGAGUCAUGGUAGAAUACUCAACUGUGGAAUGUAUAUCUCUCCCACACAUCUCUCCUUGGCAACACACUCGCUGAGGGAAAGGAGGGAGCGCAGGAAGGAUGGAAGGAGGGGAAGGGGCCUGGAGAGUUAGAAUUUGAAGGAGCUGAGGAAAGGUGGAAGGAAGGAGAAGUAGAGGGGAUGAAGGAGGAGGCUAUCCGCUGGCGGAAGGAACAGAGCCCAGGAAGGUUGGAGGAGAAGGAGGGGGCUGUGGAGUUAUAAUCUGUGUGACCACAAAGACAGUCAAGAGGGAGGACGUUGAGUUAUGUACCCUUUGACUACUAACCAGAACAGGCCCCCUUUUCUGCUUCACUUAUUAAAGGCUGAGGGAGACGCAAUCAAGUGGAGAGAUUCUUCCUUGGAAAUGGCAGUCUUCAAAAAAUUUGACACAAACAAC